rnacentral:ribozyme from 15 species
AUGCACCUAUGAAUAUACAAGCAUAAAAAAAGCAAAAAAAGCAAAAAGAAAAUGAAUAACAGCAGUCUAUGAUUGGUUUGUUG